CCUAUUAAGGGAUAGUUCUAGAAUUAGGCCUGCUCACUGAUAUUUUAAAGAGCUGCAGUAUUUUAACUGUACGAAGGUAGCAUAAUCAUUAGUUUUUUAAUUGGAGACUGGUAUGAAAGGUUAGACGUAAUUUAACUGUCUUUAUUGUAAUUAAUGAAGUUAAUUUGUUUGUGAAAAAGCACUAAUAGGGUAAAGGGACAAGAAGACCCUAUUAAAUUUAAAUAUAAUGGGUAUUGUUUUACAUAUAAGUUAGCUAUAUUUGUUGUAUUUUGUUUGGGGCGAAUGGUAUUAAUUGUACAGUAUCAUAAUUUAAUAGUUUAUAUGACAUUUAUUUGGUCUAGUAUUGGCUAAGUAUAAGAAAGAAUUACUGUAGGGAUAACAGCGUAAUAUUUUUUGAGAGUUCAUAUUGACAAAUAUGUUUGCGACCUCGAUGUUGGAUUAAGGAGUCUGUUUGGCGUAAAGGUUAUAUCAGAUAGUCUGUUCGACUAUUAAAUUCUUACAUGAUCUGAGUUCAAACCGGAGAAA
rnacentral:rRNA from 1 species